CCCAGGCUGUUAGGAAAGAUAGCAUUCAUGACAUUAAAGUUCGGUACCUCUUAAUUUUUUAUAAUCAACUAGUUUCUUUAAGUCGAUGAAGAACAUGGAAAGGACUAGGGUGACUGAGUAACUACACCGAUUCCCAGUUUAUACACGGGAGAAGCACAGCUUUACUGUGUACACGCCACACUUCAGUUCCAGCUUUGGGAGCUUUCUUUCCAGCUCUUUAUUACCUUUCAAGUGAUCACUGGCUGGAGGCAAGGGAGAACAGCAGGGACAAGGCACUAACCGUUCCACAGGCUGAAGCAGAGUUUUAAUUGAUAGAUUAAACAGGAAAGGUUAGCGGAGGCCAGGCCACAAAGGUCUUGUUAAGUCAACUAAGACAUUAAGUAGACUUGAUUUCAAGGACAAUGACCAUUUAAAAGCAACUACUCAGGUGUUAACGGAAAUGUUCUAAGUAGGAAAGUAGCAUGAUAUUUUCCGGAAGACAGUGCUGGCUGAACGGGGGAAUGGACAGAAGGAGAGACAGACCGCCAAAGACUAUGGACUUGAAUUAGGUAUUAUGGAGAAAAAUCAUAGUUGUCAGGAGCUUCACAUGUCCAGUCAACAGGAUUUGGAGUGGUUAGAUGUGGAAAGUGAUGGAAAGGGAGUAUUUCAAAAUAACUUUUUUUUGGCAUCGGCAACUACAUGAAUGGCGUGACAUUCAUUGUGCCAGGCUGCUGGGGCAGGUGGGAAUGAUGGGUUUAAGAGGAAUUAAAUUUUAUGUAUACUGAAUUAUUUACAGGACAUCCACUUGGAAACCUCCAACAUACACUGAGAUACCUUUAUCUGCUGCUGCGGAGUGAUACCUGGGCUGGGCCAGAGACACAACUAUGGGAGUUUUUCACUGCGAAAAGCAACCAAAGCCAAGAGAGUCAGAAGAUCCAGAACACCAAGCACUACGGGUCAAGCUAAAGAUCGACUCCAUGACUGCUCAUAGAGAUCUAUAAACACUUACUGGGAGAAGCUGAGGACCUAGCAGGAAGAUAAGCAUGACCCUUUGAUGUAUUAUUGGCAAAAGAAAACCAGGAUCAAUUGGGAAAAUUGUGUCGAUUUCUGUUUUGACUGCUCGGUGGACCUGCCUUCUUACUUAUUCCAGUGACCAUGUAACUGUCAUAGCCUACUAAACUCAUCUCAAGACUGAAAGUGGAGACAGCUGUGCCUCCAUGUGGAUUAAUUAUCAGGGAUGGAAACAUCUGUGUCAAAAUAACCAUUGUGGAAAAUUCUUGCUCAAAAAGGUGACUCAUAUACUUAAAAAUUUAUUCAGAGCCUGUGCUACAUGUGGGAAGAAGAUGAAGCCAGGAGUCCUAAGAUGAGAAGCUCAAAACCUAGCUGGGAACAGAAGACAUAUAUGAGCAUGAAAAUCUGACUUUAUGUAUGCUUGAAAAUGUGAUUAUAAAAUGACAUCCCUCAUUCUUCUAGGGAAUGCAAUAAGAUGAUAACUGUGGGGAAUGUGGUGAAGUACACCUUCUUAGAAAAGCAACUUACCUAAUUUAGCCAUCUUUUCAGAGUGUUUUCUGUUCUGAAAAGAAUAAACUUUAUUCCCACCA